rnacentral:rRNA from 1 species
AUUAUUUUAAAUAGCUUUUUUUAGAAGGUUUGAGAUUGGUAAUAUAUUUUAAGACUGUUAAAUUAAUAUGUACCUUUUGCAUAAUGGGUAAACUAUAAUAGAAUUUAAGAAUUUUUCACGAAGUAGUUUGAGCUAAAAAUAUUACUAUAGUAUUAGUUUAUUUUAAAGUCGUUGUAGUAUAAACUACAGUAAAGUAAUUUUUAGGGGUGAUAGGCCUACCAAAAACUAAGAUAUCUUGAUUCUAAUUAAAUGUAUGUAGUACAGUUAAUACAAUUAUUAAGUGGUGAGGCUUAAUAAUGCUAUAAAAUUAUAUUUCUUUUUUAAACUAUGAUUUAAUAAUUAAGUAUGUAAAUUAAAAUAUUAUUUAAUUGUAUUUAUUGUAGCUAAAAAUUAGAUAAAGUUAAAUUAAAAUACUCUUAAAUAAUGUUUAUAUUAGUAUGUUAAGUAAAUAUAUGUGUAUAUCUUUAUAAUGAACUAGGCAAUUUGUUUUUCAACUGUUUACCAAAAACAUAACUGUGUGACCUAAUACAUAGCAACUUCUGCUCAAUGAAUUUUAAAUAGCCGCAGUAUUUUGACUGUGCAAAGGUAGCAUAAUCAAUUGGCUUAUAAUUGAAGUCUAGAAUGAAUGAAAUAAUGGGGAACGUCUCUAUCUUAAAGAUUUUUCUGAAUUUAUUUAUUAAGUGAAAAUACUUUUAUAUAAAUAAUAGACGAGAAGACCCUAGAAAUUUAAAGUAUUUGAUAUUUUAUUAUAAUAAAUUUUUGUUGGGGCGACAGAAUAGCAUAGAACCUAUUUAUUUUAACUUGUAACUUUUGUAGAUUGAAGAAAUUACUCUAGGGAUAACAGCAUAAUAUUUUAAAGUUUGUGACCUCGAUGUUGGACUAGGAAAUAAGUAGCCUAAAAAGUUAUUUUAAUUGCUCUGUUCGAGCAUAUACUCCUACAUGAUCUGAGUUCAGACCGGCGUGAGCCAGGUCAGUUUCUAUCUUUUAAUGAUUUGGUAGUAGUACGAAAGGAAUUUACUAAUUACAUGUGUUG